rnacentral:rRNA from 1 species
CCUACGGGGGGCUGCAGUAGGGAAUAUUGCGCAAUGGACGGAAGUCUGACGCAGCGACGCCGCGUGAGCGAUGAAGGUCUUCGGAUCGUAAAGCUCUGUCCUUGGGGAAGAAGGUCUUCGGACUUGACGGUACCUCUAAAGGAAGCACCGGCUAACUCCGUGCCAGCAGCCGCGGUAAUACGGAGGGUGCAAGCGUUGUUCGGAAUCACUGGGCGUAAAGGGCGCGUAGGCGGCUUGGUAAGUCAGAUGUGAAAGCCCACGGCUUAACUGUGGAAGUGCAUUUGAAACUGUCAGGCUUGAGUACCAGAGGGGAAAGUGGAAUUCCCGAUGUAGAGGUGAAAUUCGUAGAUAUCGGGAGGAAUACCGGUGGCGAAGGCGACUUUCUGGCUGGAUACUGACGCUGAGGCGCGAAAGCGUGGGGAGCAAACAGGAUUAGAUACCCUAGUAGUCACUA